rnacentral:rRNA from 1 species
UCAUAGUGUGAACUGCAGGACACAUUUGAACAUCGACAUUUCGAACGCACAUUGCGGUCCGUGGAGAAAUAUCCAGGACCACUCCUGUCUGAGGGCCGGCUGUUAAAAUAUAAAUAUCACACUGUUCACAACCCUUUAUGCGUUUCACUAUGUGUUAGGGGUUGUGAAGAAUUGACGGUUCCGUUUUUAUGAGUUGUCGUUUUUAUAAACUAUAUCUCGCACGGUCCGUUUAAAUAUAAUUGAUAUUUGCGUUUAUAAUUAUUUAAUAAUUAUUAUAACGCAUACGAUAACAACCGAUCGUCUCUAGUCACUCUAGAUACAAACCGAUCGGGCGUCCCUCGGACGCGCGACUCUUCGACGUAAAAAAUCGACAGAGGGCAUGCGCGUCUUUAUACGGUGACUUGACCUAAACGGUAAUAGAGAGAUGAGAUCGUAUUGUGUUGUUAUACGUUGUUUA